AACAGAGGAGGAAGGGCUGGAAAGUAGCUCCCUACAGUGUAGGGACUGGUCCUGCUGUUGCAUGUCUCCCCAUCUCCACUGAUGCUGUGUGUUGGGCAAAACUUCCCACAGGUGGACAGUUGGGUGCAGGUGUGGGAUGAAGCAAUCCAUUGCUGUUGCUGAGCUGGCUGUGGGCAUUUCCCAGCAAAGCCCAAACCUGAGCUCACCACUGGGGACAUCACACAGCUCCCCUCCAGCCUCCUGCUCAUCUCAGUGGUGUGACCUUGUGAGCUCAGUGACUCCGUUACCAUCUCGCUCUGCUCUGGCCUCGUGCUGUGUUUGGGAACCUUUCCAACUUCAUGGACAAGUUUGCCAUGUGCUUGCAUAUCUCAUGCAAAAAAAGGCUCGCUUUCAGGAAGGAAAUCUUCCAUGCCAGGAGCAGAAAGGAGGGGUGACACAAAGAUGGAGUGUGACUUCCUGCGUUCCAGAGAGCACGCCGGGUGCUGGGGCUGAGGCUGGCUUCGUGUCACAGGGGUAUGCUCCAUAACUCACAACACAAAUGUUCGUGGAGGAAGUGUCUCAGAGAGUGUUUCUGUCCCCUUGUUCUUCGUUGAGCAGAUAUUUCAUCUGCUCUCAGGAGGGAAGCAGAGCCCAAUGGAGAGCCUAACAGAACGCAGCAUGGAUAAUCCUGAGCUGUGCCCCGAGUCCUUGCUUGUUGGAGCGCAGACUGAGUUUGUGACUGCUCAGUUUAUUUCACUCUGUGCUGCUGUCUCGUUCUGAGGUAGAUCCAAAAUGUCACCGAUCCAAAUGAUGGAACGUCUCAUGGCAAUGGCUUCUUCUGGAGGGCAUUUGGCAGCUCUAUCACAGCCAUGGGAGGGCUGAUGUGCAGCUGCCACGUUGCUCAGAAGUCACACUGGAGGACUUGAAGGUGUGCAUGCAUGUGACUUCAAUUCCUUUGAUUUCAGCUCCGUGGUUGUGAAAUAACUUUCAGUGGGGAUUUCACGUCAGCUAAGUUUAGCUCUUGGCUGUUGAGAGGAAGAGGGACAACGCUGAUGGCUCUGCAAAUGAGCUCUGGGUUGAGUAGGGAAGGAAAAUGGACCUGGCACCUGAACUGACCUCCCCCAGCGCAGUCCUCAGGUCCUCACCUGAGAUGCUGAAAUCUGUAUUGAUAUUGUCAUCUAUAUCUCAACAUAUGUAACUUUUCCAUGCUUGCAGAGAAACAAAUGGAGUUUUUUUUCGUCAUCUGCAUUCCAGCAAUCAUCGGAGAGCCCCUGGCUCCCAGAAGCUCUCCCUGGUAUUUGGAGCAAUUAAAUGCACAGAAUGCCCAUAGCUUUGUAACAGAGGGGAAUCAUUAUGGGGAAUCAUUAUUGCAUUGGUGUGAUUUUGCUAGUGCUGCAACCCAUUCUUUGCAGCCUAAAGCACGGGGCACAGGCAGCCCAAUGGGAAAGGUAGGGAAACAGUGGAAGGAAAGCAUGUGCAGGAGCUUUCUGCAUUUGGGAUGUAUCACACGUAGUGGUGGAGCUGUGCUAAUCAAGAUCUGGAGAAUCUGGUUCCCCAUCUGAAGUGAGCAUCCCUUUUGUAUUAGUCCCUGAAGUUAUUUUAACUCGCGUUGACACAAAUUAAACAGGAAUCUUGCUG
rnacentral:lncRNA from 7 species